rnacentral:rRNA from 1 species
GACGAACGCUGGCGGCGUGCUUAACACAUGCAAGUCGAACGGAAAGGCCCCUUUGGGGGUACUCGAGUGGCGAACGGGUGAGUAACACGUGAGUAACCUGCCCUUGACCUCGGGAUAACUUCAGGAAACUGGGGCUAAUACCGGAUAGGAAUCCUUGCUGCAUGGUGGGGGUUGGAAAGCUUCGGCGGUUUUGGAUGGACUCGCGGCUUAUCAGCUUGUUGGUGGGGUAGUGGCUUACCAAGGCUUUGACGGGUAGCCGGCCUGAGAGGGCGACCGGCCACAUUGGGACUGAGAUACGGCCCAGACUCCUACGGGAGGCAGCAGUGGGGAAUAUUGCACAAUGGGCGGAAGCCUGAUGCAGCAACGCCGCGUGCGGGAUGACGGCCUCCGGGUUGUAAACCGCUUUCAGCAGGGGCGAAGCUUGUGGUGACGGUACCUGCAGAAGAAGCACCGGCUAACUACGUG